AAGACUUUGCCGGAUUAGCUGAGAGGUGGUGCAUGGCCGUCGUCAGUUCGUACUGUGAAGCAUCCUGCUAAGUCAGGCAACGGGCGAGACCCACGCCCACAGUUGCCAGCGUACUCUCUGGAGUGACGGGUACACUGUGGGGACCGCCGCUGCUAAAGCGGAGGAAGGAAUGGGCAACGGUAGGUCAGUAUGCCCCGAAUAUCCCGGGCUACACGCGAGCUACAAUGGUUGGUACAAUGGGUAUCUACCCCGAAAGGGGACGGGAAUCUCCUAAAACCAAUCUUAGUUCGGAUUGAGGGCUGCAACUCGCCCUCAUGAAGCUGGAAUCCGUAGUAAUCGCGUUUCAACAGAACGCGGUGAAUACGUCCCUGCUCCUU
rnacentral:rRNA from 1 species